rnacentral:sRNA from 1 species
CCUCUUCUAUUGGCGACUACGGAUGGCUCCAUGCUCGCGAUGCGAAAUACGCAACCAGGAUUAUGGAGGACAGUAAAGAACAUCGUCAGACUCGAAGGAGCAAGAAGAAUAGUAUGUAUAAAGUACUUCACAAUCAAGACAUAAAACACGAGUGCUCGCGGUCAGGGGGACUGCACGCUUAUCCUGAUCAUUUCAGGGAACCUAAAAAGCUUUACCUCUAAACCAGCCGUCUGCUAAAUGAUCAUUUAAAGGUUCCUGUCCUCUGGUAGGACUUUGUAUAUAGUGUAAAUAUCGCUUUUCUAACAAAGGAUCUCGCUCAAAUAAAAGAAAAAAAAAAAAAAAAACGAGCAAGCUCGAAGAAUCGAAACAAGUCACGCGG